rnacentral:rRNA from 1 species
GACGUAGGGCGCGAGCGUUGUCCGGAUUUAUUGGGCGUAAAGAGCUCGUAGGCGGCUUGUUGCGUCGUCCGUGAAAACCUGGGGCUCAACUCCGGAUCUGCGGUGGGUACGGGCAGACUAGAGUGAUGUAGGGGGAGACUGGAAUUCCUGGUGUAGCGGUGAAAUGCGCAGAUAUCAGGAGGAACACCGAUGGCGAAGGCAGGUCUCUGGGCCUGUUCUGACGCUGAGGAGCGAAAAGCGUGGGGGAGCGAACAGG